CAAUCCGUAAAAUAGUCAAUUACAAAAACCAACCCAAAGAGUAGACCUAUUUGACAGUCUACGUCUGUAAACUGAAAAGAACGUCUACAGAGAAAAAUCUAUAAAAAUGUGAAUUUGUGUAUUAUUCAUUAAAAUUUUUCUAGUUUUUUUGUUUGACAGUGUGUGUUAGUUAAUCCCCCUGUUCGAAAACGCGGCCAAAUCGGACGAUUACGCGCCGCCGAGGGGCUUGGCGGUGGUGGGCCGUGGCGAUUCCGCCAUAGUUGGCAAGAAAAUCGGAGCCUGCAAAUUUUUUUCUUUUCUUUUUGAAUGAUGAAAAUCAUGUGUUUAGUGGUAGAUUUAUGUAAUUGGGACAUAAACAAUACGAAAUCACAUAAAACUUUGAUGAUCUAGGGGAAAAUGAAUGUGGGCGGCCAUGAAAAUUGCUUGAGAUGUCGAAAACCCUAAAAAAAAUUGGGGGAAGAAGAUGAGUUAUUUACAUUUAUGCCACUCAUUAAAAAAUAAAAAAUAAAAAACAACAAAAUGAGGCAAGCGCUACUCGAACCUGGGUGAUGAGGAUGAUGUCAAGAACUUUUACCACUAGACUACUAUAACAUACCUGUACAUUUCUCACAAACUAGAAAAUAUAACACUAUAUACCCGAUAAUUGUAAAAAAGUACAUAAAACUAGGCCCCGCGUACUCUCCGAUUUUUCGAUAACUCGCUAGGCCCACACCGACCGCCCGACUAGCGCCUAGCGUAGUCUUGAACAGGGGUUAAUCCUAAUGGGUUUGAGUGAUUUUGAAAAGAAAUUUUUUUAUAAUUAUGAAGGUAUAAUUCAUUUGAUUUGACAAUGUUGUUAGCUAAUAAUUGUAGACGUAUUUGUAAGUCUUCGUUUAUAGUUUUGCUAGUAAGGCUGAGCUU
rnacentral:lncRNA from 1 species